rnacentral:piRNA from 1 species
UGUGGUUCCCGUCUGCUGAGAUGCCCUGUCC